UGGGGAAUUUUGGACAAUGGACGCAAGUCUGAUCCAGCCAUGCCGCGUGCGGGAAGAAGGCCUUCGGGUUGUAAACCGCUUUUGUCAGGGAAGAAACGAGUUUCUCUAAUACAGAGACUUAAUGACGGUACCUGAAGAAUAAGCACCGGCUAACUACGUGCCAGCAGCCGCGGUAAUACGUAGGGUGCGAGCGUUAAUCGGAAUUACUGGGCGUAAAGCGUGCGCAGGCGGUUAUGCAAGACAGAUGUGAAAUCCCCGGGCUCAACCUGGGAACUGCAUUUGUGACUGCAUAGCUGGAGUGCGGCAGAGGGGGAUGGAAUUCCGCGUGUAGCAGUGAAAUGCGUAGAUAUGCGGAGGAACACCGAUGGCGAAGGCAAUCCCCUGGGCCUGUACUGACGCUCAUGCACGAAAGCGUGGGGAGCAAACA
rnacentral:rRNA from 1 species